rnacentral:rRNA from 1 species
UCCUGGCUCAGGAUGAACGCUGGCGGUAUGCUUAACACAUGCAAGUCGAACGGAUGUUUUCGGACAUUAGUGGCGGACGGGUGAGUAACGCGUGAGAAUCUAGCUUCAGGUUGGGGACAACAGUUGGAAACGACUGCUAAUACCGAAUAUGCCGAGAGGUGAAAGAUUUAUUGCCUGAAGAAGAGCUCGCGUCUGAUUAGCUAGUUGGUGGGGUAAAAGCUUACCAAGGCGACGAUCGGUAGCUGGUCUGAGAGGACGAUCAGCCACACUGGGACUGAGACACGGCCCAGACUCCUACGGGAGGCAGCAGUGGGGAAUUUUCCGCAAUGGGCGAAAGCCUGACGGAGCAAUACCGCGUGAGGGAAGAAGGCUCUUGGGUUGUAAACCUCUUUUCUUAGGGAAGAAAAAAAUGACGGUACCUAAGGAAUAAGCAUCGGCUAACUCCGUGCCAGCAGCCGCGGUAAUACGGAGGAUGCAAGCGUUAUCCGGAAUGAUUGGGCGUAAAGCGUCCGCAGGUGGCAAAUCAAGUUUGCGGUUAAAGGCUCUGGCUCAACCAGAGACAGGCCGUGAAAACUGAUUAGCUAGAGUAUGGUAGGGGCAGAGGGAAUUCCCAGUGUAGCGGUGAAAUGCGUAGAGAUUGGGAAGAACACCGGUGGCGAAAGCGCUCUGCUAGGCCAAAACUGACACUGAGGGACGAAAGCUAGGGGAGCGAAUGGGAUUAGAUACCCCAGUAGUCCUAGCCGUAAACGAUG